rnacentral:tRNA from 1 species
AGAACAAACCGAUUGGAGACGGGAACUGCUUGGAAAGUAGCUGAGUGUCAAAAGACGCCUUGUGGGUUCGACUCCCACUUCUUCUGCCA